UCCCCAUUCACAAGGCCUCCGCUGACCGGG
rnacentral:piRNA from 1 species